UGAACUCCUGACCCCAAAUGAUCCUCCUGCCUUGGCCUCCCAGAGUGUUGGAAUUACAGGUGAUGGCCUGUGGGCAGAACCACGCGCGGGAAGUGCCUGCCAGUGGGCGUUAGGAGAUGUAUGUGGAGCCUGUGAUAGCCAAUCAAAAACUGUCCCCUUCUAACCCAGAAAAGCCACAUGCUUUGCUGGAUGCUGCUUGAAAUCUGAACUCUGCACCUAAAUAUGUGGGUAAAAUUAGACACUUUUGUCACUUUAAUUUUUACAUUAUCUCAGAAGUUUUCACUAGAUUUCAAUGUGCCACUUGUGCUAUGAGUAUUUAAGAAGCUUUAAAAAAUAAAUGCACACCUGUAGCCUUUUAGCGUUCAGACAGGUAGAUUAUAUUUACCUGUCAUGGGGGAUCAUAUAUGGUUGACAGUUGCAGGUUUGAUUAAAUCCACUAUAUUGCACAAAUUUUGCUGGAAAUAAUUUCCCGCCCUGCCAAGAGCUCUAUGGUAGUUUGAUAAUAAACUACUACCCCAGUAUUAUUAGAAACUGUGUUACUAAGUCUUUUCUGCCUGAUUUGUGCUUUACUUCCAUAGACCUCUCAGAUAUGUGAGGAAUCAAGCCAUAAAUGUGCAUUUGCUGGACAUUAUAUACCAUGUCAUCUCUGACUACAGAUUUCAAGGAUAAUUUUUACAUCUAACAAUUUCACUGUAACAGUGACCGAUAAUGUGAGAAAUGUGCUUUAUACAGUGCUGCUGGUGGAUAGACAAGUGCUUGCUGCAGUUGUUUCUUAAUCUAGACAGAUGCUGGAGUCGUGAAGCUGUAAGCUCUGCGGGAGCAGGGACCAUCUCUUUCUUGCACAACAGGCACUCAAUAAAUACUCGUGGCUGUGAA